rnacentral:ncRNA from 1 species
GAGGUGUAGCUCUUUAAGGGCAUGAUGAGAAUAAGCUAGGAUUCCAAGUUGGUCGAGAUCUGAAAUUACUUGACAACAAUUAAACUUGCACUGGUUGUGCUACCCUAAUGUAUUCAACAAAUUUAUGACCUUGGUCAACGAGCUUGGGUAAUCUUUGAAACUUCAUUGUGAUGGGGAUAGAUCAUUGCAAUUUUUGGUUUUCAACGAGGAAUUCCUAGUUAGCACGAGUCAUAAGCUUGAGUUGAUUGUGUCCUUGCCCUUUGUACACACCACUUAUCGCUUCUACCGAUUGAAUGAUUUGGUGAAGUGUUCGGAUUGCAACGACAUGGGCCGUUCGUUGCCUGGGAAGUUAUAAGAAGUCCACUAAACCUUAUCAUUUAGACUUUAAAAUGAUAUGAUUUUUAACAACUCAACAAG